rnacentral:lncRNA from 1 species
CACACAUGUUCAAAAUGUCAUAAUGUGAGUGUGGUCUAUUCGUAGCAGGGUGCGCAAGUGAGUGAUGACGUGAGAAGAGAGGGAUUUUCAUUUAAAACUGAGAGCUAGAGGAAAAUAAACCGACCUCCUAAAAGGUGGUCUCUACCUGCAGGUCACUGACUCCCGUGGUGUUCAUGUGUGUGCGAGUUUGUGUGUAGUGGGAGGGUUCGUCCGAGUGCGUUAAUCCAUUCUUCCUGGUCGCUGUCGAUGGCCCUCCUUCAUGCUUCUCACCUCACAUCAGCACCAUUCUCCUCCCUUUCCGCCCUCCGGUAACCCGGCCCUGCACCCGGACCUCAUCCAAUCCUCUGGAUCAUCUUCAAAGGGCUUCACGGUUUUACGAGCAAUCAGGGCACACACGUUCAACAUGUACAUGUCCACACAGCUACAGACACAGACAUACACACACACACAGCCUUUUGAAUCUGCACAUGUUUAUCAGUGUAACCUUUAGAGGGCAGCAGAGUCUCACUCAGAGAGAAAUGUGGAACACAUAGUUCAAACAAUGCUUCACCCUUAGUUCUCCUGCUUUCCUGAUGUACCAUAACCUUUCUCUUUUCCUUCAAACCUUUUCCUAUCAUCCUCUCCUCCUUUCUCUUUGGUUUGCACCCAGCUCUCUCCCUCUUACCUCCUCCUUCCCAAUUGCAGAGAGAGUUUUAGAUUGACAGAUCUGCUAUAUCUGGUUAUCGGCUGUAAUUAAAACUAAUGUGGCUGGCUGAUGGCAUUUUCCACCCUCCUUCAUCCAUUGCAAUUAGUCAGUAUUAGUUGACCUGACGUCUUGUAUCAUCAGAUUGCAUUACUGAAUGCAAACGAGGCAAACAGGCAGAGGUAGUACUGGUGUCACCUGGGAGUGACAGCCACAGGAGGCCUGGUACAGCUGCCGGGCAGACUGAAAAGGGAGUGUAAAAACUCACACACAGUGAAACACAGAGAAUGAGCUUAUUGAUCCUCUGCAUCACUUUCUUGGAUCACCGAAAUAGUUUUUCAGCAAAAAAGUUGAACAAAAGGUUUCAUAAAGAGCACCAGUAUGCGCACACAUACACACACACGCGCUGUUGGCUUAGUAACAGGGUUCAUUGAUCAAGUAAACAGUCUAAGUCCCAGAGGUGAUGACCACUCACAGAUCGCUCUUCAUUUGUCCUUUCCUCUUCUCAUCUUUUACCCUUAAAAUCCCGACCACCAGGAAACAUCUGAAUUUAUCUUUUUUUUACUCUGAUCAAGUUAGUAAAAAAGCCUCCUGCUGCGCAUGAGUCAAAAUCCUCAGACUUUUGACAGUUUAAAAUAAAGCAGAUGUUCAAGCAUACGCUGUUUGGUGAAGUUAAAACUGGGACACAUUGAAAUCUCAGCGAGACAAAUAUGCAUGUGAUGUGAAAUUUCACCAGGUGUAAAACUCAGGAGAUUCAUCAUCUCUAAGUGCCUUACAUAAAAAUUCACCACCCUGGACUGUACACACUUUGCAGAAUAACGCCCUCACACAAGUUUCAGCUUGCUCAUUGUCGAGUGUAGCCCUUUUCUUGUUCACAAUAUCACCUGCGGAUGAAAACACCUGCUCACUUCAUAACAAGUUGCUGUCUACAGAGUGAGGAGUCACCCUCAUGUAGGUUUGCAUCUCUUGAAUCGUGUCCUUGUUUUUGCCACAGCCUCUCAAUGUGUACAAGUUCCCUAAUAGGAAUCUACAGUACUUGUUGUUACUCUGCUCAUCAGUGGUGCCUCCUCCAUUGCUGCUUACAGAGGGUGACGUUAUUCUGACUUCCCAAAAAGAGGACAAGACUACGCGGGGGCGGAGUCACAGAGUUGCACGAAGUUAAUUCUGAGAGUUUUUCGGGUCGGAUCAAGUGUCUUUUACACGCUUUUAACUCAGGUAGUCCAGGUGACACAAACUCGAAACUUACGUACAAAACCACAGACAUUUGAAGGAUUUUAUAAACUUUCCCUGGACAAAGACAGACAGCCUGGACAGCCCCCCCAAAAGAGGACAUGUCCAGGAAAAAGAGGACAAAUGGUCACCCUAGCUUACAUCAAGAGUAAGACAGCUGCUUUGAACACAGUGGACAUACAGUUUUCUGUCCUUAAAUGUUUGGUGUUGUGAUUGUCCGCACAGUGUGGCUUCUGUGUCCUCCAUUUUUGUUUUGUAAAAUUACUGUAUUAGUCUGGAGGGCAUGGAUUGGCGAGGUUCCAAUGAGGGUGCCCUCUGCUGAAUCAUACGGAAACCUACUUCAGGUGGCCUGAUGUGCUGGUCCAUAAGUUCUGGCUGGUUGCAACUCAAAUAUGAACUUCCCCCCCAGAGUUCAAAUGAAGGUUUGGAUGAAAAGUGACAGCCCAACUCUCUUUACAUCAAUAUAAUUAAAGUCGAUCUGCCAAAGCCUGGGAUAAAAGCACCAUCCCGAGCAAGAGUCUCUUCCCCUCACAGUCAGACACAAAGCAAUAAUGGAGUAUUUAACACACAUAGAUUAUAGUUCAGCCUUGAUGGAAGAGGCUGGUUCAUGCUGCCAUCUCCCACACCCAUAGAUGAAAUUUGGAUUUCAGAGGUGGGGGGGACACAUAUUACUUGAGUACUGUUGAGUACUGUUGAGACACAUAGCCUAGCAAACAGCACAUCUCGCACACACAGUAACAGAGGAGGCAAUACGGCCAGCGGGUGGAUUGAGGUACAAACCCGAUACAGGGAUGUAAAUGAAACCUCCGAUGAAUGUGACGAAAAUGAACACCGCCCUCCUGUACACUUACAUUGACGAAAAGCGAUGUUCAUAGAGUGACUCUUACGAGAAACUUGCAAAACACUAGUCUGGCGGGCAUGGAAUGACUGACAACAGGGAUUACCAAUCACACACAAAAAGUGGCCCUGAGGCAGAGCCAAUCAGGGACCUUGUGGGUGGUUCAAACCAGGGGAAAGCAGUUCUCGGCUUGAGUGGCCGUUUAAUCCUAGUGCCGUGUAUUGGUUUGCUGUAGGGUACAGUAACAUUGUUGUUUGAUGGUUAAAACUGCAGGGGAUGAAAAUAGGCUUUUGAAAAAGUGGCGGGGACAUGUCGCCUGUGCCCUCCCCCCACAAAUUACGUCCAUGCUCACAGCCGUCAAUCAUCUGUCAUCAAUCCUGAGAUCCGAACGGCAUCAUGGCUUUUUUUUUUUUCCUCAAAAUGACCCAACAGAUUGAUCAGUCACCUUUACAUGUAAAAUUUGUGAAAUUUCCCUUUAAACAUCCACAUAAGUCUUUUGAAAGCCAAAUAAAGAUAAAAAUGUAUUUCCCAUUUAAAUUCAGUCCAUUCAUGAAGUCGACCUCAUGUGUUGUUCAGAGCUCUCGGGUGUAUGACUCAUUCAUCUGAAGCUGAAAACCUCCUCACAGCCGCAGAGACAAACGGCUUAAAUUAUUUCAUUUUGUCUCGUCAAACGAAUCCUUUAUCUGAUGAAACAUAUAACACACGUAGACAGAGAGAGAGACUUUGCUUCUCUUCCUGUGCAAUCUGAGCAGUAAGUCAACGGCUUUUCCUGUCAAUCCAGUUGUCUCUAACAGUCACUGCGUGCACUCCAACCCACAGAGGCUACAUAUCUCCUCCAAAUUCUCAUGCUUCUCCAAAGUUAUCCUCAAAAAUCCACCGACUCUGCUUCUCUCCCUCAGACUGGCUCACAGCGCAGCCUCUCCGCAUUAACUCUACCUCUCCCUCCUUCCCUUCAUACAGACAUGCAGAGCCGUCGCAGAGCUGCAUAUUGAACGGAUACGCCGUCCCAUUUCAUGAAGCUGUGAGUCUCAUUUAAAAAGAUGCAGCAGCUGGGCUGACACGCAUGCUGCGUCUGGCGAAUUCAUGCUCCUUCUGCAGCGGGAGAAGGAAAGAGAGGAAGCCCACAAUUGUGUGACAAAUUACGUUUUCUUAUUUUUCAUCCCACUGAUUUAUUCCUUCCUCCUUCUGCACUGCUGCCCAUCUACACCCCGCCACCCGCACCACUCAGCCACUCCCCCAUCCUGUUUCCCAUCUUCUCUUACCCUUUGGAGCGGAAGGCCUGUAGCAGUGGUAAUGAGGAAGGUUAAUUGGCCUUGCUGUGUCUUUAGGAGGUCAUAGAGAGUGGAAGGCAGCGGGAGCAGAGGGGGUGACAAUUUCCUCAAUUUUCACUUGAUGGCCUCUAACUUACCCUCUGCUGUUUCCACAUAAUCUGAACCCUUCCCCGCUGAGAGUCGUCUUUAUCCAGGCAGUGUGUGGAUGAAAGAGAGGAAAACUUUCAUACAGAUGCCCACACCUGAGACACUGUUCAAUUACUCAGGGGUCACACUCUGAUACCGCAUGCAGUCAGAGAGCUGAUUUGCAUUUCCACAGAGAGAUAACAGAAGUUGAACAGAAAUGAAGAAAAUGAAUUGUUCACUGUGAUGGAUUGCCUGUCUCAAGCAAUUUUCAAGGCCCCGAAAGCCAGUUUUCUCAGAGACAAAAAUGAAAGCAGAGAGUACAUUUUGAUGCACAGAGGUUUCUGGAUAUCUGUUAUUUUUGUAAACUUGUCUUACGUCUCCAUAAAGCUGCUGUGUGAGUUCAGUUUUGACCGAGUUACCUCAUCAGUUCUAAAAGGAGCUGGGUAAGUUCCUGAACUGACCUCCCUUUUACCCCUCUGCUG